UCCCUGAUAGCUCAGUUGGUAAAGAAUCUGCCUGGAAUGCUGGAGACCCCGGUUCGAUUCCUGGGUUGGGAA
rnacentral:tRNA from 1 species